rnacentral:lncRNA from 1 species
GCAGCCCGUCCCUAGGUGUAGGGUAAUGGCGGCCGACCUGGAGGCUCCUUGGGAUCCCCUCGAGAAGCCCGUUCAUGAGUGUCUGAAACUGUCACUUGACUGCCAGAAGUGAAAACAUCGUGUCCCUAGUCACCUGCCAUUUGCCUUUUCAAAACCAUUUCCUCUGUUCUCUAGGCUGUCACAAAUCCUCUGCACCCCAGGAGCGCCGCUUGGACCCCCGGGCUCGCUGCGUGGUCCAUAUCUAGGUCGGGCCUCUCACGGAGACUUUCCCACCAGUGUAAUAAAGAGGAGAAAACGUCACAGCGGAAGGGCCUGACCCUGCUGCAUCCACUAAGGAAACAGCUACGGGGAUGGGACCCUGGGAGCUGCUGUGGAGCCUCAUCCACCGCUUCUCUGACCCCACCCAGGCUGCUUCCCAGGCCUCAGGGUCUUAGUGUGGACCUCCGGGCCGUGAUUAAUGCAGUUUUUCAGGUUAAGUACUGCACGACUACUCGCUUCUGAAACUGAUAGACACUGCCUCAGCUCCGUGCAGGGCAGACGCACAAGAGCAGAAUCUCCGUGGGACAUCUCUCUGGAGCAUCAAUAUUACUGCAGUAUUUGGAAGAAACAAAUUUAAAUAAGUUCUAAGGUGAAGAAUG